rnacentral:rRNA from 1 species
UCAGAGCCCGUUAAUGGGUGAUGGCGUGCCUUUUGUAGAAUGAACCGGCGAGUUACGAUUUGAUGCAAGGUUAAGCAGUAAAUGUGGAGCCGUAGCGAAAGCGAGUCUGAAUAGGGCGUUUAGUAUUUGGUCGUAGACCCGAAACCAGGUGAUCUACCCUUGGUCAGGUUGAAGUUCAGGUAACACUGAAUGGAGGACCGAACCGACUUACGUUGAAAAGUGAGCGGAUGAACUGAGGGUAGCGGAGAAAUUCCAAUCGAACCUGGAGAUAGCUGGUUCUCUCCGAAAUAGCUUUAGGGCUAGCCUCAAGUGAUGAUUAUUGGAGGUAGAGCACUGUUUGGACGAGGGGCCCCUCUCGGGUUACCGAAUUCAGACAAACUCCGAAUGCCAAUUAAUUUAACUUGGGAGUCAGAACAUGGGUGAUAAGGUCCGUGUUCGAAAGGGAAACAGCCCAGACCACCAGCUAAGGUCCCAAAAUAUAUGUUAAGUGGAAAAGGAUGUGGCGUUGCCCAGACAACUAGGAUGUUGGCUUAGAAGCAGCCAUCAUUUAAAGAGUGCGUAAUAGCUCACUAGUCGAGUGACACUGCGCCGAAAAUGUACCGGGGCUAAACAUAUUACCGAAGCUGUGGAUUGUCCUUUGGACAAUGGUAGGAGAGCGUUCUAAGGGCGUUGAAGCAUGAUCGUAAGGACAUGUGGAGCGCUUAGAAGUGAGAAUGCCGGUGUGAGUAGCGAAAGACGGGUGAGAAUCCCGUCCACCGAUUGACUAAGGUUUCCAGAGGAAGGCUCGUCCGCUCUGGGUUAGUCGGGUCCUAAGCUGAGGCCGACAGGCGUAGGCGAUGGAUAACAGGUUGAUAUUCCUGUACCACCUAUAAUCGUUUUAAUCGAUGGGGGGACGCAGUAGGAUAGGCGAAGCGUGCGAUUGGAUUGCACGUCUAAGCAGUAAGGCUGAGUAUUAGGCAAAUCCGGUACUCGUUAAGGCUGAGCUGUGAUGGGGAGAAGACAUUGAGUCUUCGAGUCGUUGAUUUCACACUGCCGAGAAAAGCCUCUAGAUAGAAAAUAGGUGCCCGUACCGCAAACCGACACAGGUAGUCAAGAUGAGAAUUCUAAGGUGAGCGAGCGAACUCUCGUUAAGGAACUCGGCAAAAUGACCCCGUAACUUCGGGAGAAGGGGUGCUCUUUAGGGUUAACGCCCAGAAGAGCCGCAGUGAAUAGGCCCAAGCGACUGUUUAUCAAAAACACAGGUCUCUGCUAAACCGUAAGGUGAUGUAUAGGGGCUGACGCCUGCCCGGUGCUGGAAGGUUAAGAGGAGUGGUUAGCUUCUGCGAAGCUACGAAUCGAAGCCCCAGUAAACGGCGGCCGUAACUAUAACGGUCCUAAGGUAGCGAAAUUCCUUGUCGGGUAAGUUCCGACCCGCACGAAAGGCGUAACGAUUUGGGCACUGUCUCAACGAGAGACUCGGUGAAAUCAUAGUACCUGUGAAGAUGCAGGUUACCCGCGACAGGACGGAAAGACCCCGUGGAGCUUUACUGUAGCCUGAUAUUGAAAUUCGGCACAGCUUGUACAGGAUAGGUAGGAGCCUUUGAAACGUGAGCGCUAGCUUACGUGGAGGCGCUGGUGGGAUACUACCCUAGCUGUGUUGGCUUUCUAACCCGCACCACUUAUCGUGGUGGGAGACAGUGUCAAGCGGGCAGUUUGACUGGGGCGGUCGCCUCCUAAAAGGUAACGGAGGCGCUCAAAGGUUCCCUCAGAAUGGUUGGAAAUCAUUCAUAGAGUGUAAAGGCAUAAGGGAGCUUGACUGCGAGACCUACAAGUCGAGCAGGGUCGAAAGACGGACUUAGUGAUCCGGUGGUUCCGCAUGGAAGGGCCAUCGCUCAACGGAUAAAAGCUACCCCGGGGAUAACAGGCUUAUCUCCCCCAAGAGUUCACAUCGACGGGGAGGUUUGGCACCUCGAUGUCGGCUCAUCGCAUCCUGGGGCUGUAGUCGGUCCCAAGGGUUGGGCUGUUCGCCCAUUAAAGCGGUACGCGAGCUGGGUUCAGAACGUCGUGAGACAGUUCGGUCCCUAUCCGUCGUGGGCGUAGGAAAUUUGAGAGGAGCUGUCCUUAGUACGAGAGGACCGGGAUGGACAUACCUCUGGUGUACCAGUUGUCGUGCCAACGGCAUAGCUGGGUAGCUAUGUGUGGACGGGAUAAGUGCUGAAAGCAUCUAAGCAUGAAGCCCCCCUCAAGAUGAGAUUUCCCAACUUCGGUUAUAAGAUCCCUCAAAGAUGAUGAGGUUAAUAGGUUCGAGGUGGAAGCAUGGUGACAUGUGGAGCUGACGAAUACUAAUCGAUCGAAGACUUAAUCAA